AUUGGUAUGAGAAGCUUCCAGGAACUUCCUGUGCAGGGCGCAAGCUCUUAGCGCCGGGAUCUUCUGGUAAAUUUUGGAUGGAGGGUCUUCGGACCCUCUUUUUUUUUUAUUUUUUUUU
rnacentral:misc_RNA from 1 species